rnacentral:lncRNA from 1 species
CAAGGAGGAUUCAUGGUAAAGUUUCUGUCACAUACCCACACCAGAGCAUGUCAGUCUUUUUGAGGACUGAACAGAGUCUCCAUAGCAGACAGGACAUUAAAUUUGGUGACCGUACUAUGAAAAUAUGCAAAGGUGUUAUUCAUGACUGCAUAGAUCCCAGAGGAACACCAGGGAAUAUUUAGGAGGUCUCACAAAUACUCACCUAAGGGAAGUCAGAACACCCUCUCUCAACCACAGCAUGGCAGAUAGCAAAGCCAGACCAAGCUCCAACACACUGAUGAUCAGCAUCACUGAAAGGGCUCCCUAAAUUCAGGAGACGAGAGAGUGGGUGAAGAGGACAAACUAAAUCAACAAAGCUGGUUUC